rnacentral:rRNA from 1 species
GAGGAUGGCAAGCGUUGUCCGGAAUAAUUGGGCGUAAAGCGUGCGCAGACGGUUUUGUAAGUGACAUGUUAAAUCUCAAAGCUCAACUUUGAAAUCGCGUGUCAUACUGCAAGACUAGAGUCAAGUAGAGGCAUAUGGAAUUUCCGGUGUAGUAGUGAAAUGCGUUAAUAUCGGAAGGAACACCAAUAGCGAAGGCAGUAUGCUGGACUUGUACUGACGUUGUUGCACGAAAGCGUGGGGUAGCGAUCGGGAUUAGAUACCCCGGUAGUCCACGCCGUAAACGAUGGAUACUAGGGACUGGGAGCAUCGACCCUCUCGGUCUCGUAGCUAACGCGUUAAGUAUCCCCGCCUGGGUAGUACGGCCGCAAGGCUA